rnacentral:rRNA from 1 species
UACGGAGGGGGCGAGCGUUAUUCGGAAUCAUUGGGCGUAAAGGGCAGGUAGGCGGCCGCGCACGUCCUUUGUGAAAGCCCUCGGCUCAACCGAGGAAUAGCAAGGGAAACGACGAGGCUUGAGUCCGGGAGAGGAGAGUGGAAUUCCCAGUGUAGCGGUGAAAUGCGUAGAUAUUGGGAGGAACACCGGUGGCGAAGGCGGCUCUCUGGACCGGCACUGACGCUGAGCUGCGAAAGCUAGGGGAGCAAACGGG